CCCUUAGAUGUUCUGGGCAGCACGCGCGCUACACUGAUGCAUUCAACGAGCCUAUCCUUGACCGACAGGUCCGGGUAAUCUUUGAAUCUGCAUCGUGACGGGGAUAGAUUAUUGCAAUUAUUAAUCUUCAACGAGGAAUGCCUAGUAGGCGCAAGUCAUCAGCUUGCGUCGAUUACGUCCCUGCCCUUUGUACACACCGCCCGUCGCUCCUACCGAUUGGGUGUGCUGGUGAAAUGUUCGGAUCGGCCGUUUGUCGCGGUUUCCGCGUCAUGUGGCUGAGAAGUUCAUUAAACCCUCCCACCUAGAGGAAGGAGAAGUCGUAACA
rnacentral:rRNA from 1 species